rnacentral:sRNA from 1 species
UGUUCAACAAGUCCGCUGUAGCACACAUGCCAAUUUCACAACAGAAUUUGAAAUCCGGGCUCAAACCUCGGCAGCGUAAUACUUUUUGGUUCAAUUAGUUAGUUUU